ACUUUCAACAACGGAUCUCUUGGUUCUGGCAUCGAUGAAGAACGCAGCGAAAUGCGAUAAGUAGUGUGAAUUGCAGAAUUCAGUGAAUCAUCGAAUCUUUGAACGCACAUUGCGCCCCUUGGUAUUCCAUGGGGCAUGCCUGUUCGAGCGUCAUUUG
rnacentral:rRNA from 373 species